rnacentral:rRNA from 1 species
UACGUAGGGAGCAAGCGUUGUCCGGAUUCACUGGGUGUAAAGGGCGCGCAGGCGGGUUAGCAAGUCGGAGGUGAAAUCCCACAGCUUAACUGUAGAACUGCCUUUGAAACUGUUAAUCUUGAGUGCGGAAGAGAGAGACGGAAUUCCAGGUGUAGCGGUGAAAUGCGUAGAUAUCUGGAAGAACACCAGUUGCGAAGGCGGUCUCUUGGUCCGUUACUGACGCUCAGGCGCGAAAGCGUGGGGAGCAAACAGG